UAUUAAGCUUAGUACCCCUUAGUAAUUUUCUGAUCCUCUUCCUCCUUCUACUCUCCACCCUCCAACAGGCCCCAGUGUGUGUUGUUCCCCUUUAUGUGUCCAUGUGUUAUCAUUUACUUCUCACUUAUCAGUGCGAACAACUUUCAUUCAACAUCUAAUUUGUCUUUCUUCACUCUGGCGUGGAAAUUUUGAUAAAGAUUUCAGUAUCACUUAAACCUUUCUCAGAAUAAUAGAAAGGAUAAUUUAGUUUCUUCUGAAAAGUUUAUUUUAGGCUAGUGCCACAUGGUUGUGAAUAUUAACUAUAAAAUCUAGAAUAAAAAUCUACAGAUAAAAUCCAUAAUUCUAUCAUCUGAACACAAUGAACAGUAGUAUUUGGGCAUAUUUUCUUGUAGGUUUUUUAACCGUAUAGUUAUAGAGAAUAUGUAAUUUGGAUCUGUGUUUUUUACACAAAUAUUUUUCUAUGUUAAAUAGUCUUCAUAAGUUAUAUAGGUCUGCUUAAUAGUUCUGCUACUGGAGUUUUCAUUAUUAGGUAAGUUGGUUGUUAUGGUUGGACAUUUAGGUUUACAAUAUUAAAACAGUGGUUUAUAUACAAUUUCAGUGGUUGAAAAAUAUGCAUUUCUAUUUUGGAAUGACAGUAUUAAUUUAACUUAGUGAAUCUCAUAUUCCAGAACUGAGAUGACUGAUUUGAUGCUAUUUGUGACAGACAGAACCCAUAAUAAAACCUUUCUAUACAAAUUACAUUUUAUAGAAUUAUCCUGCUAAAAGUAACCUUUAGGGAAUGUAAAACAGUCCUUUGAUGUUCCCAUAUCAUUCACUUUGCCAUUCUGAACAACUAUCAUUUUAAUUAAGACCACUUAACAGACACUUGCUGGAUAUAAUUCUUAAGUUUCGGAUUGAAACUUAGUCGAUCCAGUUUAAUAACCGAAUCCAGUUGCACAUUUAUCAGCCUGAAAACUACAGGCUGAUAGUUUGCAGAUUGGUAAAUCAGGGUACUUGACAAGAAUAAAUAUGGUAAACCUUUACAUAUUCAUGUGUUACAUGCCAGAUAUGAGUGUUUCGGGACCCUGUUCAAGGAAAUAGUGAUCACUGAGAAAGGUACAGGGAAAUAAACACCCAAGCGAAACAACAGAACUAAGCAUUCCCAACUUCACAAAAAACUGCUCAGAAUUAUCUUUGUGGGUUCUGAGUAAGUUCAGCUUUUUAACAUCAGCUAGUCACUAAUGCCAGAAAGUCCACCUUAAGUGUAUUUAUUUUCUUGUGUUAAGCAUUAUUCAACCUGGUUUAUGUCUACAAUGUAUUAUCAGUGUACUUAGGAUUCUUGAUACCUCAAUGUGAAUAAAUAAAAUUUUGAA